rnacentral:rRNA from 1 species
AUGUCUUGGGCGCCAAUCGAGAAUGACCCUGGUGUUUUUACGGAGCUGUUGCAACAGUUGCAAUUGAAGGGUCUCCAAGUUGAUGAACUCUACUCACUUGAUCUUGAUGCCCUCAAUGAUCUUCAGCCAAUUUAUGGGCUUAUAGUUCUGUACAAAUGGCGACCUCCAGAAAAAGAUGAGCGCCCUGUUAUCAAGGAUGCGGUCCCAAAUCUGUUCUUUGCUAAUCAGAUAAUUAACAGUGCAUGUGCAACCCAAGCUAUUAUUUCUGUUCUGUUGAACUCUUCUGGCAUCACCCUUAGCGAGGACCUCAAAAAGCUCAAGGAGUUUGCAAAGGACAUGCCGCCAGAGCUCAAAGGAUUGGCUAUAGUGAAUUGUGAAAGCAUUCGUAUGACCAGUAAUUCAUUUGCAAAGUCAGAUGACUACUCCGAGGAACAGAAAUCCAAGGAUGAUGAUGUCUACCAUUUCAUUAGCUAUGUUCCUGUUGACGGCGUCCUGUAUGAGCUUGAUGGACUAAAGGAAGGACCGAUUAGCCUGGGAAAAUGCCCAGGUGGUAUUGGGGAGAUGGGGUGGCUGAAGAUGGUGCAGCCUGUCAUCCAGGAACGCGUUGAUAAGUUCUCUCAGAAUGAGAUAAGGUUCAGUGUCAUGGCUAUCACAAAGAACCGGAAGGAAAUUUUCAUCAUGGAGCUCAAGGAACUUCAGAGGAAGAGGGAGAACCUCUUAUCACAAAUGGGCGAUCCUUCUGCCAAUCGGCAAAGGCCAUCCAUUGAGCGGUCACUCGCAGAGGUUGCUGCUCAGAUUGAGGCUGUGACCGAGAAGAUCAUAAUGGAGGAAGAGAAGGCAAAGAAGUGGAAGACAGAGAACAUCAGGAGGAAGCACAACUACGUGCCUUUCUUGUUCAAUUUCCUCAAGAUCCUCGAGGAGAAGCAGCAACUGAAGCCCCUGGUAGAGAAGGCGAAACAGAAUUCUCACAGCCGUAACCCUAAGUGA